rnacentral:rRNA from 1 species
UACGGAGGGUGCGAGCGUUGUUCGGAAUCACUGGGCGUAAAGGGCGUGUAGGCGGUCCGCUAAGUCUGAUGUGAAAGCCCGGGGCUCACCCCCGGAAGGGCAUUGGAAACUGACGGACUCGAGUCCCGAAGAGGAGGGUGGAAUUCCUGGUGUAGCGGUGAAAUGCGUAGAUAUCAGGAGGAACACCGGUGGCGAAGGCGGCCCUCUGGACGGUGACUGACGCUGAGGCGCGAAAGCGUGGGGAGCGAACAGG